GAUGAACGCUAGCGGCAGGCCUAAUACAUGCAAGUCGAGGGGCAGCACAGGUAGCAAUACUGGGUGGCGACCGGCAAACGGGUGCGGAACACGUACGCAACCUUCCUUUGAGUGGGGAAUAGCCCAGAGAAAUUUGGAUUAAUACCCCGUAAUAUCGUUGAGAGGCAUCUCUUGGCGAUUAAAGCUCCGGCUCUCGAAGA
rnacentral:rRNA from 1 species